UACGUAGGGUGCAAGCGUUAAUCGGAAUUACUGGGCGUAAAGCGUGCGCAGGCGGUUGUGCAAGACAGAUGUGAAAUCCCCGGGCUUAACCUGGGAAUUGCAUUUGUGACUGCACGGCUAGAGUGUGUCAGAGGGGGGUAGAAUUCCACGUGUGAGCAGUGAAAUGCGUAGAUAUGUGGAGGAAUACCGAUGGCGAAGGCAGCCCCCUGGGAUAACACUGACGCCUCAUGCACGAAAGCGUGGGAGCAAACAGG
rnacentral:rRNA from 1 species